UUACCACUCUGGCCUUUUGGCUUAGAUCAAGUGUAGUAUCUGUUCUUAAUAGUUUAACCACUAUUACGAUCGCAUUGCGAUCUAAUCUGGUUAUCAAAUUUUUGCCGCCCUCGCCUUUCGAGCUCUGCUUGCAACUCGAAGGGCACGAUGACCUUGCUACUGCAGUAUCGGCUUGUGUCGUCGGGGGAUC
rfam:Coniophora puteana RWD-64-598 SS2 unplaced genomic scaffold CONPTscaffold_10, whole genome shotgun sequence.